AGGCCGAAAGGCGUAGUCGAUGGGAAACAGGUUAAUAUUCCUGUACUUGGUGUUACUGCGAAGGGGGGACGGAGAAGGCUAUGUUAGCCGGGCGACGGUUGUCCCGGUUUAAGCAUGUAGGCUGGUUAUCCAGGCAAAUCCGGAUAACCAAGGCUGAGGUGUGAUGACGAGGCACUACGGUGCUGAAGUAACAAAUGCCCUGCUUCCAGGAAAAGCCUCUAAGCAUCAGGUAACAUCAAAUCGUACCCCAAACCGACACAGGUGGUCAGGUAGAGAAUACCAAGGCGCUUGAGAGAACUCGGGUGAAGGAACUAGGCAAAAUGGUGCCGUAACUUCGGGAGAAGGCACGCUGGUGUGUAGGUGAAGCCCCUGCGGGUGGAGCUGAGACCAGUCGAAGAUACCAGCUGGCUGCAACUGUUUAUUAAAAACACAGCACUGUGCAAACACGAAAGUGGACGUAUACGGUGUGACGCCUGCCCGGUGCCGGAAGGUUAAUUGAUGGG
rnacentral:rRNA from 1 species